UGUAUUCAAUCGGAAUUGAAAAUUUAGCAUGGAGGUUUGAUAUACGUAUACUCAUCCUUUGUACUAUAACUCAAACAUGUAUAUACAAGAAAUUUAGCUGUCUAAGUAUUCCCCUAUUCGGGAAAAACGUAAAUCUAAUGUAAAAAAGUUUUUUUUCUCUCUCUUCUCUCUCUUUCAUCUUUCAGAGAGAAAGAAAACUUUUCCGUUCAUGUUAAAUCUAAUGUAAAAAAGUCUUUUUCGGUGAAUUCUGUCUCGUUUAAAGUGGGUUUCUCGUCUAGCUGCACCGACUCUCUCAGCGGUGUAGACUGGCUUUGCUUCCGGCGUAGAUGGCUUUGUUAGCAUUUUCGGCUGGCCUUGCUUCUGGCGUAGAUGGCUUCAUUAGCAUCUUCGGCCGGCUUUGUUUCUGACAUAGGUGGUGUCGUUCACACUGGUGGUCGGCUCUCUUCCAGUAUUGUUGGCUCUUUCAGCUACGGUGGAUGGUUUUGAUUUAGUUGCAGAUCCUUGGGUUUAAAAGUUUAUGGUGCAGAUCUACUUUCUUGAAGAUUGAAAACCUAUUGAUUGAAGAAGAAGAUUAAGAAGUUUUGCUUUAGGUGGAGUCAUAUUCUCAGCAAAUCGGAACUCGCCUUGUUUUGUGGGUGCAGAUCGAGAAUUUCCUGUAGCUUCUCGGCGUUUUCGGCCGAAUUUGAAGUUUUCUGGCAAUACUUUCCGAUGUCGGUGAUCGGAGACUCCAGCUUCUUCGACUUCGCACGUGUCAUCUAUCUUGUCUAUCCUUUGCCACGUGUAUUGUGAGUGGAUGCUUCUGUUCAGUCUUCAAGAAAGGGUUUUUUAUUUGGGCAUGUGGGCUUGUAUUUGAAACUUUUUUAUUUAGGGUUGCUUGUAGUAUUGGGCCAUUGGCUUUCGUUUUUGCUUGUAA